rnacentral:misc_RNA from 1 species
GAAAUGCGAUAAGUAAUGUGAAUUGCAGAAUUCAGUGAAUCAUCGAAUCUUUGAACGCACAUUGCGCCCCUUGGUAUUCCGGGGGGCAUGCCUGUUCGAGCGUCAUUAUGACCAAUCUAGCCUGGCUAGGUAUUGGGCUUCGCGGUUCCGCGGGCCUUAAAACCAGUGGCGGUGCUCUCAGGCUCUACGCGUAGUAACUUUCUCGCUUUGGAGCCCUGGGGGAUGCUUGCCAUCAACCUCAACUUUCCUAGGUUGACCUCGGAUCAGGUAGGGAUACCCGCUGAACUUAA